AUUGAACGCUGGCGGCAUGCCUUACACAUGCAAGUCGAACGGCAGCGGGGGAGAAGCUUGCUUUUCCUGCCGGCGAGUGGCGAACGGGUGAGUAAUACAUCGGAACGUGCCCUGUAGUGGGGGAUAACUAGUCGAAAGAUUAGCUAAUACCGCAUACGACCUGAGGGUGAAAGUGGGGGACCGCAAGGCCUCAUGCUAUAGGAGCGGCCGAUGUCUGAUUAGCUAGUUGGUGGGGUAAAGGCCUACCAAGGCGACGAUCAGUAGCUGGUCUGAGAGGACGAUCAGCCACACUGGGACUGAGACACGGCCCAGAAUCCUACGGGAGGCAGCAGUGGGGAAUUUUGGACAAUGGGCGAAAGCCUGAUUCAGCAAUGCCGCGUGUGUGAAGAAGGCCUUCGGGUUGUAAAGCACUUUUGUCCGGAAAGAAACGGCUCUGGUUAAUACCUGGGGUCGAUGACGGUACCGGAAGAAUAAGGACCGGCUAACUACGUGCCAGCCGCCGCCGUAAGAC
rnacentral:rRNA from 1 species